rnacentral:rRNA from 1 species
AGCAGCCGCGGUAAUUCCAGCUCCAAUAGCGUAUAUUAAAGUUGUCGCAGUUAAAAAGCUCGUAGUUGAAUUUCGGGGUCAGUAGGUUGGUCGUGCCACCGGUACGUACUGGUCUCACUGAUUCCUCCUUCCUGAAGAACCGUAAUGCCAUUAAUUUGGUGUUGCGGGGAAACAGGACUGUUACUUUGAAAAAAUUAGAGUGUUUAAAGCAAGCUAACGCUUGAAUACAUUAGCAUGGAAUAAUGAAA